rnacentral:rRNA from 1 species
UGCAGCAACGCCGCGUGAGGGACGACGGCCUUCGGGUUGUAAACCUCUUUUAGCAGGGAAGAAGCGAAAGUGACGGUACCUGCAGAAAAAGCACCGGCUAACUACGUGCCAGCAGCCGCGGUAAUACGUAGGGUGCAAGCGUUGUCCGGAAUUAUUGGGCGUAAAGAGCUCGUAGGCGGUUUGUCGCGUCUGCUGUGAAAUCCCGAGGCUCAACCUCGGGCCUGCAGUGGGUACGGGCAGACUAGAGUGCGGUAGGGGAGAUUGGAAUUCCUGGUGUAGCGGUGGAAUGCGCAGAUAUCAGGAGGAACACCGAUGGCGAAGGCAGAUCUCUGGGCCGUAACUGACGCUGAGGAGCGAAAGCGUGGGGAGCGAACAGGAUUAGAUACCCUGGUAGUCCACGCCGUAAACGUUGGGAACUAGAUGUGGGGACCAUUCCACGGUCUCUGUGUCGCAGCUAACGCAUUAAGUUCCCCGCCUGGGGAGUACGGCCGCAAGGCUAAAACUCAAAGGAAUUGACGGGGGCCCGCACAAGCGGCGGAGCAUGCGGAUUAAUUCGAUGCAACGCGAAGAACCUUACCAAGGCUUGACAUAUACGAGAACGGGCCAGAAAUGGUCAACUCUUUGGACACUC